GACGAACGCUGGCGGCGUGCUUAACACAUGCAAGUCGAACGGAAAGGCCCUGCUUUUGUGGGGUGCUCGAGUGGCGAACGGGUGAGUAACACGUGAGUAACCUGCCCUUGACUUUGGGAUAACUUCAGGAAACUGGGGCUAAUACCGGAUAGGAGCUCCUGCUGCAUGGUGGGGGUUGGAAAGUUUCGGCGGUUGGGGAUGGACUCGCGGCUUAUCAGCUUGUUGGUGGGGUAGUGGCUUACCAAGGCUUUGACGGGUAGCCGGCCUGAGAGGGUGACCGGCCACAUUGGGACUGAGAUACGGCCCAGACUACUACGGGAGGCAGCAGUGGGGAAUAUUGCACAAUGAGCGGAAGCCUGAUGCAGCAACGCCGCGUGCGGGAUGACGGCCUUCGGGUUGUAAACCGCUUUCGCCUGUGACGAAGCGUGAGUGACGGUAAUGGGUAAAGAAGCACCGGCUAACUACGUG
rnacentral:rRNA from 1 species